UUGGAGGGCAAGUCUGGUGCCAGCAGCCGCGGUAAUUCCAGCUCCAAUAGCGUAUAUUAAAGUUGUUGCAGUUAAAAAGCUCGUAGUUGAAUUUCGAGACCGGUUUAUUGGUCGUGCUUUUGUACGUACUGGUAUUAUUGGUUUCUCCUUUCUGACGAAUCUUAAUGCCAUUAAUUUGGUGUUUUGGGGAAUCAGGACUGUUACUUUGAAAAAAUUAGAGUGUUUAAAGCAGGCUCACGCUUGAAUACAUUAGCAUGGAAUAACGGAAUAGGACGUUUGAUUCUAUUUUGUUGGUUUCUAGGAUCGACGUAAUGAUUAAUAGGGAUAGUUGGGGGCAUUAGUAUUCAAUUGUCAGAGGUGAAAUUCUUGGAUUUAUUGAAGACUAACUACUGCGAAAGCAUUUGCCAAGGAUGUUUUCAUUAAUCAAGAACGAAAGUUAGGGGAUCGAAGACGAUCAGAUACCGUCGUAGUCUUAACCAUAAACUAUGCCGACUAGGGAUCGGAUGAUGUUAAUUUUUUAAUGACUCAUUCGGCGCCUUACGGGAACC
rnacentral:rRNA from 1 species